rnacentral:rRNA from 1 species
AUGCCCCUAAAGUUUUGGGAUGAAGCUUUCAUUGCUGCUACAUAUCUGAUCAACCAUCUACCUAAUAAAGUUAUCAACUUUGAAACCCCUCUUGAACGAUUAUAUCAUGAAAAGCCCAACUAUUCAGCCCUUAGAAUUUUUGGUUGCACUUGUUGGCCUAAUCUUCGUCCAUAUAAUAAUCACAAGCUCCAAUUCCGAUCCAAGCAAUGCGCUUUUCUCGGGUAUAGUAAUCUUCAUAAAGGUUUCAAGUGUCUUGAUAUCUCUACAAGACGUGUUUACAUUUCAAGGGAUGUAGUUUUUGAUGAAAAUGUCUUUCCUUUCUCCACUCUACAUCCUAAUGCCGGAGCCAGAUUACGUUCUGAAAUCCUUCUGUUGCCUCCAGAACUCUUGAACCCAACUGAUCAAGGGGGUGAAAAUAGUACUAAUGAUCAUUUGUGUGAUAGCCUUACUAAUGAUGGUGGCAGCAGUAAAAAAAACGCAGCCCCAAACCGUGAUUUUAUGCAGCAACACGUCCUUGCUCAGCCAGGCGCAGGACACGAGGUGGAUCCGCCUGCUGGCGCUGAUCCCGAUGGUUUUGGCGCGGAAAAUGAUCCCGAGGUGGAUCUGGUGGCGCCACAGACGCCGCCUCCUCCAGAUUCUGUGGCAGGCUGCUCAGCAAACGACACAUCACCUAGGUCAGGCCUCCAGUCGGGUGGCGCGAUGGAUUCCUCGUCCCCGCGUGACAGUUGUCGCGUGCCGAGUGGGGGAAGGGCCCCUGUCGCCCGAGGCAAUGAUGGUGGUCACCCUGUGGACCACACGAUGUCGCUGUGCAGCGGGCCGCCUUCACCAAGCCCACAGGCGCGGCAUCUGGGCCAGCCCAGGCGCACGACAGUCGAGGGAGAUUCACCUGCGGCUGAUCGGUCUGCUCCAGUACGAGGUAGCGGAUCGGGGUCUUCUGCGCCAUCGACUCUGCACCACAGCGUGUAA